CGAAUACCGGAGAAUGUUAUCACGGGAGACACACGGCGGGUGCUAACGUCCGUCGUGAAGAGGGAAACAACCCAGACCGCCAGCUAAGGUCCCAAAGUCAUGGUUAAGUGGGAAACGAUGUGGGAAGGCCCAGACAGCCAGGAUGUUGGCUUAGAAGCAGCCAUCAUUUAAAGAAAGCGUAAUAGCUCACUGGUCGAGUCGGCCUGCGCGGAAGAUGUAACGGGGCUAAACCAUGCACCGAAGCUGCGGCAGCGACACUGUGUGUUGUUGGGUAGGGGAGCGUUCUGUAAGCCUGUGAAGGUGGCCUGUGAGGGUUGCUGGAGGUAUCAGAAGUGCGAAUGCUGACAUAAGUAACGAUAAAGCGGGUGAAAAGCCCGCUCGCCGGAAGACCAAGGGUUCCUGUCCAACGUUAAUCGGGGCAGGGUGAGUCGACCCCUAAGGCGAGGCCGAAAGGCGUAGUCGAUGGGAAACGGGUUAAUAUUCCCGUACUUGGUGUUACUGCGAAGGGGGGACGGAGAAGGCUAUGUUGGCCGGGCGACGGUUGUCCCGGUUUAAGCGUGUAGGUGUGUGUUCCAGGUAAAUCCGGUUCACUUUAACACUGAGGCGUGAUGACGAGGCACUACGGUGCUGAAGCAACAAAUGCCCUGCUUCCAGGAAAAGCCUCUAAGCAUCAGGUAACAUCAAAUCGUACCCCAAACCGACACAGGUGGUCAGGUAGAGAAUACCAAGGCGCUUGAGAGAACUCGGGUGAAGGAACUAGGCAAAAUGGUGCCGUAACUUCGGGAGAAGGCACGCUGACACGUAGGUGAAGUGAUUUACUCAUGGAGCUGAAGUCAGUCGAAGAUACCAGCUGGCUGCAACUGUUUAUUAAAAACACAGCACUGUGCAAACACGAAAGUGGACGUAUACGGUGUGACGCCUGCCCGGUGCCGGAAGGUUAAUUGAUGGGGUCAGCGCAAGCGAAGCUCCUGAUCGAAGCCCCGGUAAACGGCGGCCGUAACUAUAACGGUCCUAAGGUAGCGAAAUUCCUUGUCGGGUAAGUUCCGACCUGCACGAAUGGCGUAAUGAUGGCCAGGCUGUCUCCACCCGAGACUCAGUGAAAUUGAACUCGCUGUGAAGAUGCAGUGUACCCGCGGCAAGACGGAAAGACCCCGUGAACCUUUACUAUAGCUUGACACUGAACAUUGAGCCUUGAUGUGUAGGAUAGGUGGGAGGCUUUGAAGUGUGGACGCCAGUCUGCAUGGAGCCGACCUUGAAAUACCACCCUUUAAUGUUUGAUGUUCUAACGUGGACCCGUAAUCCGGGUUGCGGACAGUGUCUGGUGGGUAGUUUGACUGGGGCGGUCUCCUCCUAAAGAGUAACGGAGGAGCACGAAGGUUGGCUAAUCCUGGUCGGACAUCAGGAGGUUAGUGCAAUGGCAUAAGCCAGCUUGACUGCGAGCGUGACGGCGCGAGCAGGUGCGAAAGCAGGUCAUAGUGAUCCGGUGGUUCUGAAUGGAAGGGCCAUCGCUCAACGGAUAAAAGGUACUCCGGGGAUAACAGGCUGAUACCGCCCAAGAGUUCAUAUCGACGGCGGUGUUUGGCACCUCGAUGUCGGCUCAUCACAUCCUGGGGCUGAAGUAGGUCCCAAGGGUAUGGCUGUUCGCCAUUUAAAGUGGUACGCGAGCUGGGUUUAGAACGUCGUGAGACAGUUCGGUCCCUAUCUGCCGUGGGCGCUGGAGAACUGAGGGGGGCUGCUCCUAGUACGAGAGGACCGGAGUGGACGCAUCACUGGUGUUCGGGUUGUCAUGCCAAUGGCACUGCCCGGUAGCUAAAUGCGGAAGAGAUAAGUGCUGAAAGCAUCUAAGCACGAAACUUGCCCCGA
rnacentral:rRNA from 1 species